GUGCCGCAUCAUCCGCCCCGGCAGACUGGGAGCGUGUAAUCGGCAUCGCCACUACAAAGCAUAAAAGCGCAAGUUAGUAACCCACGCUGUCGCAUCCCCGCUCAAAAAGAUAAAACCCCAAAUCAUGCGAAAGUAAGGAAGUGUCCUCCACUACUAACUCCCGAUGUUACGUUGUCGGCCGCCAACGUAACCCUCCGCGAAGUUAGAAGCCAUACACUCCGAUCAAACUCUAACUUUUUAGAGUUGUCAUAAACCCAAUCACAAUACUUUCGCUCACAAGUCAAUUAGACCCCGUCUCUCACGAGCCUAAUUCCUAUAGUCCAACCGGCCUAAGGUUCGCUAGGUCUGUUAGAUGUAUGCCCUAGAAGCCAACCAGGCCGACACAUAUAUUCUUUCUAGGACAUAAAUUUGUAUUUGACUUUUAAAUAUUAUGAAUAACUUUGGGUUUUUAUUUCCAUUCAUGUUGUGUAUGUGUCCAUGAAUCGUCCAAGGAAUUAAUAAGAUGAUGACAUAUAUUCUCAAGUGUUGAGAAUUUGAGACAUGUGUCAUUGGUGAUUAAUUCCUAAAUGCUCCCGAUCAAUGGAUCAUCACGGGGACGGUGAUUGAUCCGAUGAGAUUGGUGCAUAAGUCGCUUCCCUUUUGGGUAGACGAGUCUCGAGUCAACAGUGUGGGGACACUGAAGCGAAUAUGCAGGUGGUUGUUAGAGAACAAGGGUACCGAGCGUGACCAACGCGAGAAGUCACUUGGAUGUCUACUCACUCGUCAGUGACUUACUCAAUUGUUGCAGUAGUGUGACUGGUCCUUUGACCAGCGGUGCCUCGGCUAUUCACAAUGAGGUUACUGUAGUUUGACUGUACAUACACUUGGUCCCUAGCCAUUUGGGUCCUUGUGGUGCAUGUUGGCUGCAGUAGGUUCAUUGUAGGAAUAGGGUGCGCACUUAGAUGGAAUCUAUCUCCCUUGGUAGAUAGGGGUGUUAGUCCUAUGUGAUUUAUGAGACCGAGUUUAGAAGACCUUGGCCAGGGCAGAAUAAAUAGCGGAAAAGGGUUUCCGAUAUUAGAAACUCGAGUCGAAUAAAUUUAACAUAUGACAGACGAUGGGGUUUGACGAGUUAUUCCAUAACCUCCGUCUAGUCGGGACUCAUGAUAGAAGGAUUGUAUCACACCGGUAACUGCACCAAGAGGUUCAUUAUUCCAUUCUACUGGAAUGCCACUACAUGCUGCUAGGCGUCACUGGUGGAUGGUGAGACUCAUGAGAAUUAUCUAGAUGAUCGAUAAUUCUUAUUGGGCUGAGUUGGAAUUGUUCCGAUCCAUUGAAAAGAGUUUCAGUGAUAUUGUUGAUAGUGAUCAAAAUAUAUCUCACUACCAGAUAGAAUAGAACCUAUGGGGUCACACACAUAAGAGGUUGUGAUUGAUCGAAUAGCUAGAUUGCGAUUAUUGAAUCGUCGGAGGACCUAAUUGUCAAUAUAAUGAUAAUUGGACUAAUUUGUAAUUGUUACAAAUUAGUGGUAUUAAGGUGUAACUGUUACAAGAGAGGACUUACUAAUAGUUAGUAAAUUAUAAGAGGACUUAUGUGCAAAUGUUGCAUUAUUAAUUUGAUAUGAUCAAAUUAAUAUAAAGAUCGAAUCAAAUUAGGAUUUGAUCGAUCUAACCAAUUAAGGAAAGGAUAAAUUUAAUCUAGAUUUAUACUUAUCCUUAAUUGUCAUUAUAUUAUUAGGAAUAGGAUUAUAUUCCUAUAUAUAAUAUACGGGAGUUUUUAGAAAACCCAAGCCGUCAUCUAUCCUCUCUUCUCUCUUCCAUCUUCUAGCAAGAAAGACGUCCUUUUGCAAGGGAGCUAGCACCCCGGUGAGGACAUCGAUCAAAUCAAGAACCUCGUGUGGAUACCUAUAGAGGUCGGACGCGUGUGCGGCUUCAAGAGAACCCGAUUCUACGAUCAUCAAAUUGAGGUGAAGAUCUAUCAACGAAAAAGGUAAAGAUUCGAUCUUGUUUUUCUUCUUUAAUCUUAAAACAUGAGGGAUCCUAAUUGCGUGGUUUUUGAGAUUGGAUCUCGAGAGUUUUCUAAAAUCAAAUUUGUUUGAUUUCUUUUUCCGCUGCGUUUUUACCGUACGCAAUUUUCUAACAAGGUCCACUAAGACUCAAC
rnacentral:lncRNA from 1 species